AUUGCUUCUCAGCCUUUUGCCCAAGAUCAAGUGUAGUAUCUGUUCUUAUCAGUUUAAUAUCUGAUAUGUCAACUAUACGAGGACUACAUAUUAAAUUGAUUUUUAGAACAGGGAGAUGGAAGAGGAGUGUGCGCCACGGUGCACCUCCAUUUUUAGGGGGCUCUCAUGGGCUGGAGGUUAGGGAACCAGC